rnacentral:rRNA from 1 species
GACGAACGCUGGCGGCGUGCUUAACACAUGCAAGUCGAACGGAAAGGCCCUGCUUUUGUGGGGUGCUCGAGUGGCGAACGGGUGAGUAACACGUGAGUAACCUGCCCUUGACUUUGGGAUAACUUCAGGAAACUGGGGCUAAUACCGGAUAGGAGCUCCUGCUGCAUGGUGGGGGUUGGAAAGUUUCGGCGGUUGGGGAUGGACUCGCGGCUUAUCAGCUUGUUGGUGGGGUAGUGGCUUACCAAGGCUUUGACGGGUAGCCGGCCUGAGAGGGUGACCGGCCACAUUGGGACUGAGAUACGGCCCAGACUCCUACGGGAGGCAGAAGUGGGGAAUAUUGCACAAUGGGCGGAAGCCUGAUGCAGCCACGCCGCGUGCGGGAUGACGGCCUUCGGGUUGUAAACCGCUUUCGCCUGUGACGAAGCGUGAGUGACGGUAAUGGGUAAAGAAGCACCGGCUAACUACGUG